UUUAUUUGAUUAACUAUUCUUCCUGGGGUCAAUACAAACAAAACACGAUAGAAAAAACACACAACAACUUGAUCAGUCUAAUUCACAACAUUAGUGAAGAAAAAUAAAAUAAUAUACAAACAUUUCACUUCACUGGAACAAAAAUAUUUCAUAAGCCUUUUUCAUUCCCCAAUACAUUUUAUAUAUUGAGACCCAAAUCACAACAAAAUCGAUGUCAUGACAGUUUACACAAAAUGAAGGGUUUAGACUGUAAUUUAUGUCAUAUUAUUUAUAGACAUCUUAAAUGAACACAACAUUAAUCUAUUAUGAACAAGGACUGGGCAACAUUUGACAACAGUGGCAAAGAAAAAGAAGAAACUUCGAGCAGAACCAGACUCAUUGUUGAACAGCCAUCAGCUUGGACAAGAUGUCCUGAAACAAGCGUGUAGCAUGUAAGGACGCAUGUUUGGUAAAUUAUGUGUGUUAGGUUAUGUAGUGUAUGUAAGUGUUUCUGUUGGAUAUCUUAAAUCUGUGUCUCACUAUGGUUCCUUAAUUUUAAAGAAGAUAUACUGAAAUGUAAUUUAAACCACAAUUUUAAUUUAAACUAAAUUUCCAAGGAAAGGGUUCAAAUUGGCUCAUUUGAAUAUUUGUAGCUUGAGAAAUAAAGAAAGAUCAAUUCGAGAAAAUUGUUUCUGUACAAAUACAAAUUUAUUUUGAUGUUCAUAAUUUAAACUCAAAUUAUCAACAUGCCUAAAGGAGGUCAUUCCACAUGCUUGGCUCUAACACAAAUAGUUGAUGAUUGGCAGGAGGAGCAAGAUAAUAAUAAUUAAAUGGGUGCAGUGUCUUAAUCUGCAUUCAGCUUGAUGUGAUUGAUCAUUCUUUAUUACUAGAAAAAAUUGAGACAUUAUGGAAUUACUUCUACUGGAUUACAUGGCUGGAUAGUUACUUAACAAAUAGGAGGCAGGGCGAUUUCUUUAAUGGCAGUACUGGUGAACUGAACAACAUUUUACAUAAAUACUUAAUAUUAGUGUUAGAACGGUUAAAAACAGUAAAUUGAUUCUCAAUGUUGAUAAAACCAUGUCCAUUGUAUUUGUCAAGGUAUCCAUUUAAAGCUAAAAUAACACUGAAAUCAAAUGUAAGUCAUAUACUUAUUGAACAAGUACAAGAGAAACUUUUAGGUAUAACCUUGGAUAACAAACUUUAAUGGUUCUAAACAAAUUGAUAACAUUGGGCCUCAUUCACAAACAGUGAGUACGCACAUAUUAGUUCUUCAAACGGUGGUGCGAACGUUUGUCGCACACAUCUGGGAUUCAUCAAUGUGUUCUUACUUGAAUUUGUUCUUACUCUGCAAAGUUAGAACUUCCUCAGACAGAAGAAAGAAAGAAAGAAAGAAGUGUGAUAAAAGUAGAGGCAUUAGAGAUGGAUAAAGACAACACAAACAACACACGCAGAGAGAGAGAGAGAGAGAGAGAGAGAGAGAGAGAGAGAGAGAGAGAGAGAGAGAGAGAGAGAGACUCUCUGAAACCAGUACUUAAAUGUAAUGGUUCUUUGAUCUAACUUCUUUUUUUUUUUUUUUUUACAAUUCUGCUUGUAUGUAAGUAUGGAGGAACUGGGAACUGGACUCAAUUAUAAAUUUCACAACAAGAAAGAAGGAGAAAUGGAGAAACUCACUGCCGGCUCUUUUAUUUGCUCUAGACUUAAAGAAGGUUAAGCCUGAUGUGAACAACAAUAUAAGGAUUAGAACUACCUUGCAAACUUGGCAGACAAUAAGAAAGGUGGAGGGCCGCUCAAAGUCAUUAUCCUCCCUGACUCCUAUACAAGGUAACAUUGAUUUUGCUCCGGCUUUGUCUGAUCAAGGCUUUAACAUCUGGAAAGACAGGGGGAAGUUGACACUUGGACAUUUAUAUGACAGGGGAGUGAUGCUAACAUUUGAGCGAAUAAAACAGAAAUUUUCCCUCCCCAGAAGCCAUUUUUUUUUUUAGAUUUUUACAAAUACAUAGCUUUAUUAUAAAACAAAGUGGUAAUCUUUUUGAUUGCCAAACUUCACAGAUUGAAUCUUUACUUCUUCACAGAGGCAAGAAAUCAAUUCUUGGUCAGGGUUUUGCAAAACUCCACCUUGCUGGUAGCAUGUCCUCAGAUUACUUGAGGCGGAUGUGGAAUACUGAUCUGAAUUUAACAAUGGAUGAAGCAGCAUGGGCUCAAAUAUGGAGCUCUGCAAAGGAGAGCUCCAUAUGUAAUAGAACUAGAGAAACUCAGUUUAGAAUACUACAUCGCUUACAGAUUACCCCCCAGCUAAGACACAGGAUGAAUCCAAGUCUGUCAGAAAUGUGCUCAAAAUGUGCUGUGGAGGUGGGAAGCUAUAUGCACUGUAUGUGGUCAUGCAUCCACAUUGAAGAUUACUGGGGUAAAAUUGCUGGUAAACUAAAUUUGAUUUUUAAUGUUCAAUUUAAUAUUGAGCCUCAAA